GUAAACUAGUAGUUAUUCACUUAUUCAUACAAUAAUUACUAACCAUCUAUAAAUUAAUUACUACUUCCCUACCCAAUCCAUUGCAUUCUUCAUUCAGUCUUCCUCCCUCCCUCCCUCAUAUAUUUACUCUCCUCUACUUUUUAUUUCUUUCUCCUUCCAUAAUCACUUGUUUAUCUUUUAUUUUCUACCUCUUGUUUUCAUAUCCUCGUCCUUAAUUAACUCUAUUAAUAUCUAGUUCUUUCUUUGUUAAGUUUUGGAUCAUUCUACUAAGGAAAUUAUCAAAACAUGAUAUUUACAAUUACAGUUAUGGUUCAACUCAUUUUAUUAUACUCAAAUAUAGUUCAGUUUAUAUUCUACUAAAAUAAUCAGAAUUGUUGUUCCCACAUUUAAUAAGGUUGUGCCACACCAGUAAAAUACGAUUUUGCCCCCUCGGCAGUUAACUGUCGAGAAAUUUGAAAUCCGGCUGCAGUUAACUGCCAAGGAAAACCUCGGUAGUUAACUGCCGAGGUUAACUACCGAGAGAAUGUUUCAUCAGAUGAAACAGUCACCUGCUCCCCCUACAUACUAUUUUCAUCAUCAACUUCAUUUCCACCUCCAUUCAAUCCCAAAAUCCAAUAAUUUUUUUUUAUCAAUUCUUGAUCCAAAAUCAUUCAAGCAUCAAGCAUAGGAGGUAUCAACACACUUUUGACGUAAAAAAACAGUAAUGGUAGAGAACGCGGAAGAUGUUCUGGGAGAGACAAAACAAUAUUUUGUCGAAAUUUCCGGAGAUGUCAAACCACCUAAGGUUGAAGCUAAAUCAAACAUUGAUGGAGCUUCCGUCCAUGUUGAAGCUUCAAAGUAUGUUGGCGGCUCCGGUGUCCUCCCACUUCAAGCCCACGAGGUCGACACGGCUAGGUUUUUUUUCCAGACGAUGUUAAGUCGAAAGAUAGAGAUGAAUUGCUUGAGUGGACGCGUCAUCAAGCAAAUAAGGCGGGAUUUACAAUUGAUGAUUUGAAGGCACAACUUAACACUUAUUUUGAGCAUCUUGGUGAAAAUCAAUAUACACGUCACUUGUUUGGUCAAAUGCCAUGCAUAGACCUGGGAGAAGAUAGAGAUGAAUACGCAUGGAAAACGGUAAGUUAUAUGCCUUGGCUUAUUCGCGACGAUAGCGACGUCAGAUUUAUGUUUCAGAAUAUGGUGGAAGAUAAUAUAUUAUAUAUAUAUGUUCGUUCCAUAUGCAAUUGCAUUGAAUGUAAGUAUGAAUUUAAUUUAAUGAUGUGUAAUGAGUUGUUUAAUUAUGGACACUUAAUUAUGAACACCUUGUAACCUUUUGAUGAAUUUCAAACGUUUGUGUAAUUUGAACCAAAUGUCGGUUUAAUUUAAUUAUGGACAAUUGUAAAAGAUAUUGUAUUUAUCUUGUUUA